GACGAACGCUGGCGGCGUGCUUAACACAUGCAAGUCGAACGGAAAGGCCCUGCUUUUGUGGGGUGCUCGAGUGGCGAACGGGUGAGUAACACGUGAGUAACCUGCCCUUGACUUUGGGAUAACUUCAGGAAACUGGGGCUAAUACCGGGUAGGAGCUCCUGCUGCAUGGUGGGGGUUGGAAAGUUUCGGCGGUUGGGGAUGGACUCGCGGCUUAUCAGCUUGUUGGUGGGGUAGUGGCUUACCAAGGCUUUGACGGGUAGCCGGCCUGGGAGGGUGACCGGCCACAUUGGGACUGAGAUACGGCCCAGACUCCUACGGGAGGCAGCAGUGGGGAAUAUUGCACAAUGGGCGGAAGCCUGAUGCAGCAACGCCGCGUGCGGGAUGACGGCCUUCGGGUGGUAAACCGCUUUCGCCUGUGACGAAGCGUGAGUGACGGUAAUGGGUAAAGAAGCACCGGCUAACUACGUG
rnacentral:rRNA from 1 species